GGUACCGUGUAACGUGAGUGUGUAACAGGCUCCGCCCUAAGUUGGUCACCAGAAACAAACUAACACGGGAAUGUGCAUCUCUUCAUAAAGCAACGCGAGAUUGUGAACAAUGACCAUGCGCCAUUGUAUAGAUGAGGAAGCGCAUGCGCUUGGAGAGGCGGCCCGCUCAGCCCAGGUACAGGCAGAGGCAGAGCCAGGGACGGACCACAUGCAGCUCAUCCUUCCGGGGCUUCGCUGGGCAACAAUCAACCUGCUAACACGGGGAUGUCAUUCAAGACCCCCAGGGGCUGCCUGAGACCUCGGACUGCACAAACUCUAUACAACUAUGGUUUUUCCUGUACCGGCAGACCCAUGGUCCCAUCAUCCUUCUGCCAUGUAGAUCUCCAUCAUCCUGCCAUGAAGGUCUCUGUUAUCCUUCUGACUGCCUUGAACAGAUCCUAUGGAAUGAUUCUACCAGCUAUCCAAAGUGUAGCUGAGAGGAGUGCUUUUAAUAUUUUCUUUAUUAU
rnacentral:lncRNA from 1 species